rnacentral:tRNA from 1 species
UAUGGCAGAUCAAGUGCAUUGGACUUAAAUUCCUCUCAUAAAGAACCAUUCUUUUAUUAAAA